UACAGAGGUCUCAAGCGUUGUUCGGAUUCAUUGGGCGUAAAGGGUGCGUAGGCGGCUUGGCAAGUGGAAGGUGAAAUCCCUCGGCUUAACCGAGGAACUGCCCUCCAAACUGCUUUGCUUGAGGCCGGGAGAGGUGAGUGGAAUUCCCAGUGUAGCGGUGAAAUGCGUAGAUAUUGGGAGGAACACCAGUGGCGAAGGCGGCUCACUGGACCGGUUCUGACGCUGAGGCGCGAAAGCGUGGGAGCAACGGG
rnacentral:rRNA from 1 species